GGGAGGGGGAAAGACUAAGCAUUAGUAUAAAAGAAUGGACAUUCGACGAUAUUAUUAUCAAGUAGAGCAUUCGCAAUACUACAGCUUAAAAAUGAAAUUCGUGGGUUUGAUUCUUGUCGUAGCUAAGGCCGAGAAAUCUGGAGCCAAGUGCUGUACGGAAUAGUAGGCAGCAGGAACACAGUUUUUUGUCUAUAUAGAAUUUUAAUUACUGUAUAGAGUUGAAUAAAAUGUAGAUUACCUACA